rnacentral:rRNA from 1 species
UACGUAGGGACCGAGCGUUGUCCGGAAUCAUUGGGCGUAAAGCGCGUGUAGGCGGCCCGGUAAGUCCGCUGUGAAAGUCGGGGGCUCAACCCUCGGAUGCCGGUGGAUACUGUCGGGCUAGAGUACGGAAGAGGCGAGUGGAAUUCCUGGUGUAGCGGUGAAAUGCGCAGAUAUCAGGAGGAACACCAAUUGCGAAGGCAGCUCGCUGGGACGUUACUGACGCUGAGACGCGAAAGCGUGGGGAGCAAACAGG